CACGUAGGGCGCAAGCGUUGUCCGGAAUUAUUGGGCGUAAAGAGCUCGUAGGCGGUCUGUUGCGUCCGCUGUGAAAACUCGGGGCUUAACCCCGAGCCUGCAGUGGAUACGGGCAGACUAGAGGUAGGUAGGGGAGAAUGGAAUUCCCGGUCGUAGCGGUGAAAUGCGCAGAUAUCGGGAGGAACACCGGUGGCGAAGGCGGUUCUCUGGGCCUUACCUGACGCUGAGGAGCGAAAGCGUGGGGAGCGAACAGG
rnacentral:rRNA from 1 species